rnacentral:snRNA from 1 species
GGAUGUGAGGGAGAUAUGACUGUGACAUCUGUCACCCCAUUGAUCACUGGGGUUGAUUCAGCUGAUCUGGCUGGCUAGGUGGGUGUUACCUUCCUCCUUAACCAAUCUAUGUGUGUCCCUGUUCCUUCUGGAAGCUGCCAGCACUCUCCAUUGAAGAUGAUGGCCUUCCCCGAGUAGAGAUGGGUCAGUCUUAGGUCCAGGAUAUAGGAGUAGCCGCGCUCCCCUGAUAGAACCUCCAAAAAAAAAAAAAAACUCUCAAGAAUUGAAAGGAUGCCUUCUAUGAGCAGUAAUCCUUUUUUAGGGGAUAGUGGUAAGACAGAGUCAGCAGAUAGAUAAUGAUUUGAAUUUUU